rnacentral:rRNA from 1 species
GGAGGAAUAUUGGUCAAUGGGGCGGAAGCCUGAACCAGCCAAGUAGCGUGAGGGAUGACUGCCCUAUGGGUUGUAAACCUCUUUUAUAAGGGAAUAAAAUACGGGACGUGUCCUGUUUUGCAUGUACCUUAUGAAUAAGGACCGGCUAAUUCCGUGCCAGCAGCCGCGGUAAUACGGAAGGUCCGGGCGUUAUCCGGAUUUAUUGGGUUUAAAGGGAGCGCAGGCGGUCUUAUAAGCGUGACGUGAAAUGCAGCGGCUCAACCGUAUGAUGUGCGUCGCGAACUGUGAGACUUGAGUGUAUUCGAUGUCAGCGGAAUUUGUGGUGUAGCGGUGAAAUGCUUAGAUAUCACGAAGAACUCCGAUUGCGAAGGCAG